UUGCUUGUAUCGGUGUACUGCUUUCCAUGGUUUGUUUACAUAACGAUGCUAAUCAUGUUUAUCUUUUUCUAGACUAAUUCGGAAGAAUUAGUAGAGUUUUUCAGCCAUUUUGCGGCGGUUCGCGAUGGCAAGGUCAUAUACGAUCAAGAAGGAAUAAGCAGAGGGUAUGGUUUCAUAACCUUUUACAGAGAAGAGGAUGUCGAGGUAGUUCUGAAUCAGGGAGUCGUCUUUUACAAAGAAAAGAGRCUCAAGAUAGCUGAGGCGUUCCGUAAGUUUAGACAUAAACCUUCAAGGCAAGYGAGGAACCACGGUUAUGCCGUCAACCAGCAAAUGUACCCACAAGGACAAGUGUACGUCGGAGUAACACCACAAGCAUUUUAUCAGAAUCCGUGGUAACUACCAUACAAGCCCCUGGGUCGACUAUACCGGAUAUAAGCUCUGAUUCAGACCAACAUGCGCAUCGCAUGCAUGAUUCUUUUUGAUUCAGUUUAAACGCUGUAUUUAUGUUA